GGCCCAGAUUCCUACGGGAGGCAGCAGUAGGGAAUCUUCCACAAUGGACGCAAGUCUGAUGGAGCAACGCCGCCUGAGUGAAGAAGGGUUUCGGCUCGUAAAGCUCUGUUGUUAAAGAAGAACGUGGGUGAGAGUAACUGUUCACCCAGUGACGGUAUUUAACCAGAAAGCCACGGCUAACUACGUGCCAGCAGCCGCGGUAAUACGUAGGUGGCAAGCGUUAUCCGGAUUUAUUGGGCGUAAAGCGAGCGCAGGCGGUCUUUUAAGUCUAAUGUGAAAGCCUUCGGCUCAACCGAAGAAGUGCAUUGGAAACUGGGAGACUUGAGUGCAGAAGAGGACAGUGGAACUCCAUGUGUAGCGGUGAAAUGCGUAGAUAUAUGGAAGAACACCAGUGGCGAAGGCGGCUGUCUGGUCUGUAACUGACGCUGAGGCUCGAAAGCAUGGGUAGCGAACAGGAUUAGAUACCCUGGUAGUCCAUGCCGUAAACGAUGAUUACUAAGUGUUGGAGGGUUUCCGCCCUUCAGUGCUGCAGCUAACGCAUUAAGUAAUCCGCCUGGGGAGUACGACCGCAAGGUUGAAACUCAAAAGAAUUGACGGGGGCCCGCACAAGCGGUGGAGCAUGUGGUUUAAUUCGAAGCUACGCGAAGAACCUUACCAGGUCUUGACAUCUUCUGCCAACCUAAGAGAUUAGGCGUUCCCUUCGGGGACAGAAUGACAGGUGGUGCAUGGUUGUCGUCAGCUCGUGUCGUGAGAUGUUGGGUUAAGUCCCGCAACGAGCGCAACCCUUAUUACUAGUUGCCAGCAUUCAGUUGGGCACUCUAGUGAGACUGCCGGUGACAAACCGGAGGAAGGUGGGGACGACGUCAAAUCAUCAUGCCCCUUAUGACCUGGGCUACACACGUGCUACAAUGGAUGGUACAACGAGUCGCGAAACCGCGAGGUUUAGCUAAUCUCUUAAAACCAUUCUCAGUUCGGACUGUAGGCUGCAACUCGCCUACACGAAGUCGGAAUCGCUAGUAAUCGCGGAUCAGCAUGCCGCGGUGAAUACGUUCCCGGGCCUUGUACACACCGCCCGUCACACCAUGAGAGUUUGUAACACCCAAAGCCGGUGGGGUAACCUUUUAGGAGCUAGCCGUCUAA
rnacentral:rRNA from 1 species